AAGUGUUAACUGCUCUUUCAGAGUUUGUCUAGAUGGUUUUUGGUCCUCACUGGAAGACCAAA
rnacentral:snRNA from 1 species